rnacentral:rRNA from 1 species
CUAAGGUGGAGAGUGGCGCACGGGUGAGUAACACGUAGCUGACCUGCCCCGGAGAGGGGGAUAACUAUUGGAAACGAUAGCUAAUACCCCAUACGUUCGCCGUUAUUUGAAGACGGUGAAGAAAACCCUGGUGCUCUGGGAUGGGGCUGCGGUCCAUCAGCUAGUUGGUAAGGUAAAAGCUUACCAAGGCGAAGACGGAUAGGGGGCCUGAGAGGGUGACCCCCCACACUGGCACUGAGACACGGGCCAG